AGUGAACGCUGGCGGCGUGCUUAACACAUGCAAGUCGAACGAGAACGGAUUAUAGCUUGCUAUAAUUGUCAGCUAAGUGGCGCACGGGUGAGUAAUGUAUAGGUAAUAUGCCUCUUACUAAGGGAUAACAAAUGGAAACGUUUGCUAAUACCUUAUACUCCUUAUUAACAGAAGUUAAUAAGGGAAAGAUUUAUUGGUAAGAGAUUAGCCUGUAUUGUAUCAGUUAGUUGGUGGGGUAAUGGCCUACCAAGACUAUGACACAUAACUGGUUUGAGAGGAUGAUCAGUCACACUGGAACUGAGACACGGUCCAGACUCCUACGGGAGGCAGCAGUGGGGAAUAUUGCACAAUGGACGAAAGCCUGAUGCAGCAACGCCGCGUGGAGGAUGACACAUUUCGGUACGUAAACUCCUUUUAUAUGAGAAGAUAAUGACGGUAUUAUAUGAAUAAGCACCGGCUAACUCCGUGCCAGCCGCCGCAGUAA
rnacentral:rRNA from 1 species